AACGAACGCUGGCGGCGCGCCUAAUACAUGCAAGUCGAGCGAGAAGACGUAGCAAUACGUUUGUAAAGCGGCGAACGGGUGAGGAAUACAUGGGUAACCUACCCUCGAGUGGGGAAUAACUAGCCGAAAGGUUAGCUAAUACCGCGUACGCUCCUUGGACUUCGGUUCAGGGAGGAAAGCGAUACCGUGGGUAUCGCGCUCUUGGAUGGGCUCAUGUCCUAUCAGCUUGUUGGUGAGGAACGGCUCACCAAGGCUUCGACGGGUAGCUGGUCUGAGAGGACGAUCAGCCACACUGGCACUGCGACACGGGCCAGACUCCUACGGGAGGCAGCAGUAAGGAAUAUCGCGCAAUGGGCGAAAGCCUGACGCAGCGACGCCGCGUGGGGGA
rnacentral:rRNA from 1 species